rnacentral:rRNA from 1 species
ACUGCUGGCGGCAGGCUUAACACAUGCAAGUCGAGCGGAUGAAAGUAGCUUGCUACUGGAUUCAGCGGCGGACGGGUGAGUAAUGCUUAGGAAUCUGCCUAUUAGUGGGGGACAACGUUCCGAAAGGAGCGCUAAUACCGCAUACGUCCUACGGGAGAAAGCAGGGGACCUUCGGGCCUUGCGCUAAUAGAUGAGCCUAAGUCGGAUUAGCUAGUUGGUAGGGUAAAGGCCUACCAAGGCGACGAUCUGUAGCGGGUCUGAGAGGAUGAUCCGCCACACUGGGACUGAGACACGGCCCAGACUCCUACGGGAGGCAGCAGUGGGGAAUAUUGGACAAUGGGGGGAACCCUGAUCCAUCCAUGCCGCGUGUGUGAAGAAGGCCUUUUGGUUGUAAAGCACUUUAAGCGAGGAGGAGGCUACCUAGAUUAAUACUUUAGGAUAGUGGACGUUACUCGCAGAAUAAGCACCGGCUAACUCUGUGCCAGCAGCCGCGGUAAUACAGAGGGUGCGAGCGUUAAUCGGAUUUACUGGGCGUAAAGCGUGCGUAGGCGGCCAAUUAAGUCAAAUGUGAAAUCCCCGAGCUUAACUUGGGAAUUGCAUUCGAUACUGGUUGGCUAGAGUAUGGGAGAGGAUGGUAGAAUUCCAGGUGUAGCGGUGAAAUGCGUAGAGAUCUGGAGGAAUACCGAUGGCGAAGGCAGCCAUCUGGCCUAAUACUGACGCUGAGGUACGAAAGCAUGGGGAGCAAACAGGAUUAGAUACCCUGGUAGUCCAUGCCGUAAACGAUGUCUACUAGCCGUUGGGGCCCUUGAGGCUUUAGUGGCGCAGCUAACGCGAUAAGUAAACCGCCUGGGGAGUACGGUCGCAAGACUAAAACUCAAAUGAAUUGACGGGGGCCCGCACAAGCGGUGGACCAU